GAGUUUGAUUAUGGCUCAGAUUGAACGCUGGCGGCAUGCUUUACACAUGCAAGUCGAACGGCAGCGGGGAAGUGCUUGCACUUCUGCCGGCGAGUGGCGAACGGGUGAGUAAUGCAUUGGAACGUACCGGGUAAUGGGGGAUAACUUGCCGAAAGGUAAGCUAAUACCGCAUACGCUCUUAGGAGGAAAGCGGGGGAUCGUUUGACCUCGCGUUAUCCGAGCGGCCAAUGUCUGAUUAGCUAGUUGGUGGGGUAAAAGCCUACCAAGGCAACGAUCAGUAGCGGGUCUGAGAGGAUGAUCCGCCACACUGGGACUGAGACACGGCCCAGACUCCUACGGGAGGCAGCAGUGGGGAAUUUUGGACAAUGGGCGCAAGCCUGAUCCAGCCAUGCCGCGUGUCUGAAGAAGGCCUUCGGGUUGUAAAGGACUUUUGUACGGGAAGAAAAAGUUGUGGCUAAUACCCAUGACUGA
rnacentral:rRNA from 1 species